GACACACUGUGCAUAUGGCCUGCUAAACAUAUGCUCACGGUAAGGUGUACCACAUGUUCUAAAGUAGAAUUCUAUGGCAGAUUUGGGUUCAGUUUUCAUGCCAUUAAGCACCAACUGAAAAGAAAUGGCCACGAAAGUGUCUAUUGGGGGGAAAAAAAGUAUAUUUGAUAUGGACUCAGCAGACAGUGUUAAUUUGUUUUCUCGCAUUUGUAAAAUUCAAUAGUAUAACAAAAUUUCAGCCCAGCAUUCUACAUUCCUGGAAUCUCAUUAUAGCUGGACUGCAG